CUCUCCUGCAACGUUUUUUUCCAAUCGGAAAAUGAAGUGUAAGUCGAGCUUUGCCGCAGGCGGCCCUGGGUCUCCGCUUUCGGAGACUCGGAGUGCCGGGGAGGGAUGCGCUGCCCCCGUCGGCGCGAACCCGGAGGAUGGAGUGGGGGUCCCCCCGCCCAGCGCCCCGGCCGGGCCGCUCCGCCGAGCGAGGCCCAGGAGCGCGCGAGACCCAAGUCCAGCUCCGCCCGGAGGAGCGCGGGGGCGCUCAGAACGCGGGUCGCCGGCCUCGCCGAGGGUUCAAGUGCAACCCCGCGUCGGAGCCCGCGGCUCUGGGAGCGAGUUCUCCCUGCUCCGCCUCGUGUCGGGAGUUCCCUGGGCCCCGCUGCUCCCGGGACCCCACUCCGUCACCCUCCCGGCCGCGCUGGGCCGCCGGCCUGGGGCGUAAACCGAGGCGCACGGACCGGACGGGCACCCCGAUCGCGCCCCUCCUCUUCCCCAGUCCGCACCCACGGCCGGGGCGCCCCACAAGGCCAACGUGGAGGCUCCGCCUGGAAAAGAAGUUGGACUUCCUCCCCACGCUGCUCCGAGUGGAACCUGGAAUGGGCAGGAAAUUGCUGGAACACGUAGCCGCGCCUUUGCAGCCCGCCUCGCUUUGCUGAAGGGAAGCAGCUCCCACCACAGUCUUGCCUCCCCCUCCCCCCGCAGGUUUGAAGGGAUUUCCUGCCUUUGAAGUGCAGCAGUUUGCCACCUGUUUGGAUGGCCUCGCUGAAGUUGGGGCUCCGCUUCUACUUUGAAAGACUGUGACUCCAUGUUUCCUGGCUCGAGUUUCCGAGCUCACUGGAGGCAGUGCUACCUGCAGCUGGGAGGCUUUCCUUACAAGUCGGUGCCUGCAGACCCCGUAUUCCCGGCUCCGUUCCUCUAGGUCAGAGCCUGCAAGAAGAGCCCGGAGCCAUGCACUCACCUGGGUGAAGCCAUAGGAGUUUGUAUGUGGAGUAUUUUCACUGUGAGCCAAGACAGGAUGAAAGUCCUGCCGAUGAUUCGCCUUUGGGAAGGCAGCAAUCUCGCUGGGUCUCAAUUUCCCCCUCUAUGCAAUGGCAGCUCCCCUUUGCCUUCAGCUGAGGUCAUGUGACAAGUUUCCAUCAAUGGAAAAUGAGUAGGAGGAGGGUUUCUAAGAAGUGGAUGGAGUCUAUCCUACUCUCUCUGAGCACUGGAAAUGAUUACAAAGACCUAAAACAAGGCUGAGCCUCAAGACAGAAACUGGAAUCUUUUGUCCCACAGAUAAGGAACAUCUGCUUUGGGCUGUUAUCUGAGUGAGAAAUAAACUUUUAUUGUUUUAAGCCAA